rnacentral:rRNA from 1 species
UGGGGAAUUUUGGACAAUGGGCGAAAGCCUGAUCCAGCAAUGCCGCGUGUGUGAAGAAGGCCUUCGGGUUGUAAAGCACUUUUGUCCGGAAAGAAAUCCUUGGCUCUAAUACAGUCGGGGGAUGACGGUACCGGAAGAAUAAGCACCGGCUAACUACGUGCCAGCAGCCGCGGUAAUACGUAGGGUGCAAGCGUUAAUCGGAAUUACUGGGCGUAAAGCGUGCGCAGGCGGUUUGCUAAGACCGAUGUGAAAUCCCCGGGCUCAACCUGGGAACUGCAUUGGUGACUGGGCAGGCUAGAGUAUGGCAGAGGGGGGUAGAAUUCCACGUGUAGCAGUGAAAUGCGUAGAGAUGUGGAGGAAUACCGAUGGCGAAGGCAGCCCCCUGGGCCAAUACUGACGCUCAUGCACGAAAGCGUGGGGGAGCAAACAGGAUUAGAUACUCUGGUAGGUCCACGCCCUAAACGAUGUCAACUAGUUGUUGGGGAUUCAUUUCCUUAGUAACGUAGCUAACGCGUGAAGUUGACCGCCUGGGGAGUACGGUCGCAAGAUUAAAACUCAAAGGAAUUGACGGGGUC